rnacentral:lncRNA from 1 species
GGCCCCAGCGUGACCCCCCUGUGGUCUAGGCCUGUAUCCCAGCCACCCAGCCAUGACCGCAGGCCAGAAGGGGAGUCGGGGCCUGAUGCCAUUAAAAAGGGAAUUCCUCUGUUGUGGCUGCAGAGGCAGUGAAAUGUGGAACAAUAAUGCUUCAAAGAUGGUUACAAAGAUAAAUAACUUCAUGCGAACCAGCGCCUGUAUGAUCUCCGGCCCGCAGGACAACUCCAUUCCAACACUCUUCCAGUGGAGGAUUCCCGGUGUAUUCGUGAGCUGGCGAAUACCCCCAGCAAUGCUGAGACUAGGAGUGUUGGAGCUGGAGUGGACCACAGAUCUCAGAAAAAGG